UACAGAGGGGGCAAGCGUUGUUCGGAAUUACUGGGCGUAAAGGGCGCGUAGGCGGCCCGCUAAGUCGAACGUGAAAUCCCCGGGCUCAACCCGGGAACUGCGUCCGAUACUGGCGGGCUUGAAUCCGGGAGAGGGAUGCGGAAUUCCAGGUGUAGCGGUGAAAUGCGUAGAUAUCUGGAGGAACACCGGUGGCGAAGGCGGCAUCCUGGACCGGCAUUGACGCUGAGGCGCGAAAGCCAGGGGAGCAAACAGG
rnacentral:rRNA from 1 species